GGGCUAGCGUUGUUCGGAAUUACUGGGCGUAAAGCGCGUGUAGGCGGUUGUUCAAGUCCGGUUUUAAAGCCUUGAGCUCAACUCAAGAAAUGCACUUGAUACUGGAUGACUAGAGGACCGGAGAGGAUAGUGGAAUUCCCAGUGUAGUGGUGAAAUACGUAGAGAUUGGGAAGAACACCAGUGGCGAAGGCGGCUAUCUGGACGGUUUCUGACGCUAAGACGCGAAAGCGUGGGGAGCAAAAAGG
rnacentral:rRNA from 1 species